rnacentral:rRNA from 1 species
UACGUAGGGUGCGAGCGUUGUCCGGAAUUAUUGGGCGUAAAGAGCUUGUAGGCGGUUUGUCGCGUCUGCCGUGAAAAUCCGGGGCUCAACCCCGGACUUGCGGUGGGUACGGGCAGACUAGAGUGUGGUAGGGGAGACUGGAAUUCCUGGUGUAGCGGUGAAAUGCGCAGAUAUCAGGAGGAACACCGAUGGCGAAGGCAGGUCUCUGGGCAUUAACUGACGCUGAGGAGCGAAAGCGUGGGGAGCGAACAGG